AGCAACCUGGGGUGUGCGAUAAUUCCUGUAUGUUUUGAACCUACAGAUUGAAAAACGGGAUUCCUAUAUUAUUGAGCGGAUGUCGGGCCUCCAUUGAGUGGAUGGCAGAAGCUCAUUUGCGGUAACCCACCUAGCGAGGGCUAGGAAUCAAAAGUGCAGGAACCGGCAUUUCCGGGGAAUAU
rnacentral:other from 1 species